GUGCUCACUUUGGUAGCACAUGUACUAAAAUUAGAAUGAUACAGAGAAGAUUUAGCAUGGCCCCUGCACACAGAUGACACGCAAAUUCAUGAAGCGUUUUCCAUUAAA